AUUACUGGGCGUAAAGCGCAUGCAGGUGGUUUGUUAAGUCAGAUGUGAAAGCCCGGGGCUCAACCUCGGAAUUGCAUUUGAAACUGGCAGACUAGAGUACUGUAGAGGGGGGUAGAAUUUCAGGUGUAGCGGUGAAAUGCGUAGAGAUCUGAAGGAAUACCGGUGGCGAAGGCGGCCCCCUGGACAGAUACUGACACUCAGAUGCGAAAGCGUGGGGAGCAAACAGGAUUAGAUACCCUGGUAGUCCACGCCGUAAACGAUGUCUA
rnacentral:rRNA from 1 species